UAGAGAUACAAUCUUGAGGCAUAAUUACACAUAUCUCAAAUUUGUGAUUUGAAGGCUGAAGAACACAGUUGGCCACAAGGUAUUCAAGCUUUGAAGAGGAGAUUGAUGAUCCAUUAUUGAAAAUUGGGCAUCAAGGAACAACAAUGGAUAGAAUUCUUUUAUUGAGUCUUUGUAUAAAACCCGGUGGUGUCUUUCAUCUUUGGAUGAACGAUGUAAUCUAGG
rnacentral:lncRNA from 1 species